GGAGAGACUCUGGGUUGGUGAAUUCGUGGAGGUCCUGAAAGAGUGGUGCUCUAAGAGAAGCCCCCACUGAAGCUCAAAGCCUCCUGACCUGCCUGCAGGGCAAAUCUGAAGCCUCAGCCCAGAUCAGCCAGGAGCUGGAGCUGGACAGCACAGUGACAACCCUGACUGGGGAAGAAAGAGGUUUUCUAGGUUUUGCUUGUAAAUCAAGAAGAGGCAGUAGAUACAGUCAUGGAAAAAGGCAGAAGAAAACAGACAAAUCAGUUUUCAGUAACCAUGGGCUCUGAUCCUUUCUUGACCAUGAAAGUGAAGUGUUCAACAUAUACCUGCCAAAAAGCUUAUGAGGAUAUGGGCUCGUAAAGGGAUGUAAGCAGCAACAACCAGACGUGCAGCAACAACGACACGGGCUACACAGUGUUCUGGGAAAGACUGAAGGCAGGAGGUGAAGGGGACAUCGGAGGAUGCGACGGUCGGAUGGCACCACUGACUCAAUGGACAUGAGUUUGAGCAACCUCUGGGAGUUGGUGAUGGACAGGGAAGCCUGGCGUGCUGCAAUCCAUGGGGCUGCAAAGAGUCAGACACAACUGAGCAACUGAACUGAACACAGUAUUCUUAAAAGCUUAAUCAGUUGUUGACACUCAACAACCAGGGGGCUUCGGAUGCUGAACAAGAGGUUGGAUGAAGUGAAGAGUGUGGUGAAGAAGCAAUAACAGAACGAGGAUGAGAGUUGUCUGAAGUGUUUGGAGACAAAGGGCCAGAGUCUAGUUCAACCUGGUGAUAUACCCAGUGGAGCUCUAGAUGGGAUGUGAUACUUGGUCAAAGUUGGGGAGAAACUAAGAGGUUUUAUUGAGACCAAGGGUUCAGAAUGGAAGAUAGACGAACUGGGGAAAAGCCAGGUGUCGGCUGAGCUGGCCAAGUGCCUGGAACCGAAGCUGUGACUGUGAUCAGUCACAGUGAUGGGGUCACAGUGGAGAGCAGUUUUGGCUUGUAGCCAGGAAGUGGAUCCUGGAGAGAAAAAGGAAAGAGGAAACAAAAUAAUGAAGGUGUAGUGGAAAGAGCACUGAGCAAGG
ensembl:lncRNA